rnacentral:rRNA from 1 species
GGYUUYUUGUUUWUUWUUGGAAGUCUGACCUGCCCGGUGAUUUAUUUUAACGGCCGCGGUAUAUUGACCGUGCAAAGGUAGCAUAAUCAUUAGUCUUUUAAUAGGAGGCUGGUAUGAAGGGUUUGACGAGGAGUUGACUGUCUCAGUUUUAAUUGUUUGAAUUUGACUUUUUGGUUAAAAGGCUUUAAAAUGUUGUUGGUAGACGAGAAGACCCUAUAGAGCUUUACAUUCAAUAUUAUUUUACUUUUAUUGUUUUAUUUUUAAUUAUUUGUUUUUGUUUGUUUUGUUGGGGCGAUAUUUGAAUAUAAGUAACUUCUUUUUUUUUUUCAUUGAUUUAUGUUUUUUUGAUCCGUUUUAUUUGACGAUUAUUAGAUCAAGUUACCUUAGGGAUAACAGCGUAAUCCUUUUUUGGAGUUCUUAUUUACAAAAGGGUUUGCGACCUCGAUGUUGGAUUAAGAUGACUUUUUGGUGCAGUUGCUUGAAUAGUAGGUCUGUUCGACCUUUAAAUUCUUACAUGAUCUGAGUUCAAACCGG